CAAUCCAUGAGUAAAGUGGCGACCGGGUGAGUAACACGUGACUAACCUACCUUCGAGUGGGGGAUAACCUCGGGAAACCGGGGCUAAUACCGCAUAAUGCCUUCGGGUUAAAGGAGCAAUUCGCUUGAAGAGGGGGUCGCGGCUGAUUAGCUAGUUGGCGGGGUAAUGGCCCACCAAGGCGAUGAUCGGUAGCCGGCCUGAGAGGGCGCACGGCCACACUGGAACUGAAACACGGUCCAG
rnacentral:rRNA from 1 species